UACAGAGGGGGCAAGCGUUAUUCGGAAUUAUUGGGCGUAAAGGGCGCGUAGGCGGCUUUGCAAGUGGCGGGUGAAAUCCCUCGGCUUAACCGAGGAACUGCCUGCCAGACUGUGAGGCUUGAGACCGGGAGAGGUGAGUGGAAUUCCCAGUGUAGCGGUGAAAUGCGUAGAUAUUGGGAGGAACACCAGUGGCGAAGGCGGCUCACUGGACCGGAACUGACGCUGAUGCGCGAAAGCGUGGGGAGCAAACAGG
rnacentral:rRNA from 1 species